rnacentral:ncRNA from 1 species
GAGUUUGAUCCUGGCUCAGGAUGAACGCUGGCGGCGUGCCUAAUACAUGCAAGUCGAACGCGAGCAGCAAUGCUCGAGUGGCGAACGGGUGAGUAAUACAUAAGUAACCUGCCCUAGACAGGGGGAUAACUGCUGGAAACGGCAGCUAAGACCGCAUAGGUAUGGACACUGCAUGGUGACCAUAUUAAAAGUGCCAAGGCACUGGUAGAGGAUGGACUUAUGGCGCAUUAGCUGGUUGGUGAGGUAACGGCUCACCAAGGCGACGAUGCGUAGCCGACCUGAGAGGGUGACCGGCCACACUGGGACUGAGACACGGCCCAGACUCCUACGGGAGGCAGCAGUAGGGAAUUUUCGGCAAUGGGGGGAACCCUGACCGAGCAACGCCGCGUGAAGGAAGAAGGAAUUCGUUCUGUAAACUUCUGUUAUAAAGGAAGAACGCGGAUAUAGGGAAUGAUAUCCGAGUGACGGUACUUUAUGAGAAGCCACGGCUAACUACGUGCAGCAGCCGCGGUAAUAACGUAGGUGGCGAAGCGUUAUCC